rnacentral:rRNA from 1 species
CCGCGUGAGUGAUGAAGCGUUCGGAUCGUAAAACUCUGUUGUUAGGGAAGAACAAGUUGGGUAGUAACUGACCCAACCUUGACGGUACCUAACCAGAAAGCCACGGCUAACUACGUGCCAGCAGCCGCGGUAAUACGUAGGUGGCCAGCGUUGUCCGGAAUUAUUGGGCGUAAAGCGCUCGCAGGCGGUCUUUCAAGUCUGAUGUGACAGCCCACGGCUUAACCGUGGAGGGUCCUUGGAACCUGGAGGACUUGAGUACCGAACCAGGCCAGUGGCAUUCCCACGUGUACCGGUGAACUGCGUACAGAUGUGGAGGAACACCAGUGGCGAAGGCGACUCUCUUGGUCCUGUAACUUGACCGCUGAGGACGCGACAGCGUGGGUACGCCGAACCGGAUUAG